AACGAACGCUGGCGGCAUGCCUAACACAUGCAAGUCGAACGAGACCUUCGGGUCUAGUGGCGCACGGGUGGGUAACGCGGGGGAACCUGCCCUUAGGUUCGGUAUAACUCCCCGAAAGGGGUGCUAAUACCGGAUAAUGUCUUCGGACCAAAGAUUUAUCGCCUUUGGAUGGGCCCGCGUUGGAUUAGCUAGUUGGUAGGGUAAAAGCCUACCAAGGCGACGAUCCAUAGCUGGUCGGAGAGGAUGAUAAGCCACACUGGGACUGAGACACGGCCCAGACUCCUACGGGAGGCAGCAGUGGGGAAUAUUGGACACUGGGCGAAAGCCUGAUACAGCAAUGCCGCGUGAGUGAUGAAGGCCUUAGGGUUGUAAAGCUCUUUUACCCGGGAUGAUAAUGACAGUACCGGGAGAAUAAGCUCCGGCUAACUCCGUG
rnacentral:rRNA from 1 species